UACGUAGGGUGCAAGCGUUGUCCGGAAUUAUUGGGCGUAAAGAGCUCGUAGGCGGUUCGUCGCGUCGGCUGUGAAAUCCCGAGGCUCAACCUCGGGUCUGCAGUCGAUACGGGCGGACUGGAGUUCGGCAGGGGAGACUGGAAUUCCUGGUGUAGCGGUGAAAUGCGCAGAUAUCAGGAGGAACACCGACGGCGAAGGCAGCUUACUGGGCCGAUACUGACGCUGAGGAGCGAAAGCGUGGGGAGCGAACAGG
rnacentral:rRNA from 1 species